CAGUAGCCGCGGUAAUACGUAGGUGGCAAGCGUUGUCCGGAAUUAUUGGGCGUAAAGGGCUCGCAGGCGGUUUCUUAAGUCUGAUGUGAAAGCCCCCGGCUCAACCGGGGAGGGUCAUCGGAAACUGGGAAACUUGAGUGCAGAAGAGGAGAGUGGAAUUCCACGUGUAGCGUUGAAAUGCGUAGAGAUGUGGAGGAACACCAGUGGCGAAGGCGACUCUCUGGUCUGUAACUGACGCUGAGGAGCGAAAGCGUGGGGAGCGAACAGGAUUAGAUACCCGAGUAGUCCCUGUCUCUUAUAC
rnacentral:rRNA from 1 species